rnacentral:snRNA from 1 species
GGAUGUGAGGGCGAUCUGGCUGCGACAUCUGUCACCCCAUUGAUCGCCAGGGUUGAUUCGGCUGAUCUGGCUGGCUAGGAGGGUGUCCCCCUCCUCCCUCACCGAUCCAUGUGUGUCCCUCCCGAAGCUGCGCGCUCGGUCGAAGAGGACGACCUUCCCCCACGAGGAGAGGACCGGUCUUCGGUCAAGGGUAUACGAGUAGCUGCGCUCCCCUGCUAGAACCUCCAAACAAGCUCCCAAUAAUCCAAACAAUUAUGUGUUUCCCUGUACUUCAGCGGACAUGAUUUUCUCUAACCAGUAGUUCAGAACUGAGCAGCGCAAACCGAAUCCUAAUAUUUUA